GACGUAGGGGGGCAAGCGUUGUCCGGAUUCAUUGGGCGUAAAGAGCGUGUAGGCGGUCCGGUAAGUCCGUUGUGAAAGUCAGGGGGCUCAACCCUUGAAUGCCGGCGGAUACUGUCGGGCUAGAGUCCGGAAGAGGCGAGUGGAAUUCCCGGUGUAGCGGUGAAAUGCGCAGAUAUCGGGAGGAACACCUAUGGCGAAGGCAGCUCGCUGGGACGGUACUGACGCUGAGACGCGAAGGCCAGGGGAGCAAACGGG
rnacentral:rRNA from 1 species